AGCACGGAGGACUGCCGGGAGCACCGCCACGGGGCACCCGCGCUGCGCGCCCUCCCCCACCGGCUUUAAAGCCUGCUUUGAGUCCAGCCCCUUUCCUUUUGCUCCUCGGAAUCCCUUCCCCCUCCGCCACUUCCGGAUGGGAACCCUUUUAAACAUUCUUUCAAGUUGAAGCGUGGGACCAAUUUCGUCAACACUUUCCGGAGUGAACAACAUGGCGGCGGCCGCAAGAUUCCUCGGUAGAGUCUUGAUACAUCAUCAAAGGCAUAGUCUUUCCAAGUUGGCUUCUCAGAUGUCUCUUUAUCCUUGCUCUGUAUGUGUUCUGGUGCCCAACAGACAUUUUGCUGCUGCUGUGAAGCCUGCAAAGAAAACAAAAAAAGGUGCCAAAGAAAAAGCAUCAGAUGAGAAAAAGGAUGAGAUAGAAAAAAUAAAGUCAUAUCCCUUUAUGGAAAGUGAACCUGAAGAUGAUGUCUACCUGAAACGCUUAUACCCAAGGCAGAUAUACGAGGUGGAGAAAGCGAUUCAUUUACUUAAGAAAUUUCAGGUUCUUGACUUUACUAAUCCAAAGCAAGGCGUUUAUCUUGAUUUGACACUGGAUAUGGCAUUGGGGAAAAAGAAAAAAGUGGAGCCAUUUGCCAGUGUUCUUAGUUUUCCAUACCCAUUCAUUUCAGAAGUCAAUAAAGUUGCUGUAUUUACAGGGAAUGCAUCAGAGAUUAAAAUAGCAGAAGAAAAUGGAGCUGCGUUUGCAGGAGGAACUAAUCUGAUUCAGAAGAUUUUAGAUGAUGAAAUUCAACCAGACUUUUAUGUAGCUGUUCCAGAAAUAAUGCCCGAGCUUAAUCCAUUAAAGAAGAAACUGAAAAAAAGAUUUCCUAAGUUUACUCGAAAUUCCGUUGGCCGGGACAUCCCCAAAAUGCUUGAAUUAUUUAAAACUGGACAUGAAAUUAAGGUAGAUGAAGAAAGGGAGAACUUUCUGGAGACCAAAAUAGCAACACUGGAUAUGUCAAGUGACCAGAUAGCUGCCAAUCUGCAAGCAGUUAUCAAUGAAGUUUGUAGGCAAAGACCACUGAAUCUGGUGCUGGGGAUUGAACCCAAGACCUCAUGCAUGCUAAGCAUGACCCUUUGUGGUACGUGCUUUCCUUCGAAGUUCAACAAGUGAAGACAGAGACAGAGAGAGAUACAGAGAAACAGAGAGAACAUGCACACACAUGAUGUUAUAAACAUAAAUUCAGAAAUAGGAAUUCAGCCUGAUGAAUUUUCCCAAAGUGAGCAUGUACCUCGUGUAUGGAUCAAAAAGUAGAUAAUACCAACACUUCAGGAACCCCGUUGUUCCCUCCUUGAAAACUGCUCCCAUUCAAGUAACCACUACCAUGACUUCUAAGGCCAUAUAUUUGUUAUUCUUGUUUUUAAACUUUAUCUAAUGGAAUAAUAAUUACUAUAUGUAUUUUUGGGCUGAGGUCCAGGUUCAUUCAAUAUGUUUAUGAAAUUCAUCUGUAUUGAGUAUAUUUGUAUUUUGUUCAGUCUCAUUGCUGUUUAAUAUUCCAUUGUGUGAAUGUACCAUGAUUUAUCCAUUCUACUGUUGAUGGACUUGUGGAUCCUUUACAGCUUGGAGUUUUACAAAUAAUGCUGUUAUGAAUAUUCUUAUACAUGUCUUCUGGUGAAGUUUUAGGGCUAUUACAAGUAAUGUUACUUAUUAACAUUCUUUUUCAUUUCUUUUGGUGAACAUAUAUAUGCAUUCUGUUAGAUAUACACCUAAGAGUGAAACUGCUGGAUCAUGUUAGGUAUAUGUUCAUAUUUAGUAGAUAAUGCUUUGCAAUUUUCUGAAGUAGUUGUACCAAUAUAACUUCCAACAGUAUAUAUAAGAAUUCCAACUAAAUCAUAUCCUCGCCAAUAAUUGGUUUAUCUUUUUCAUUUUCACCAUUUUUCUGAGUGUGACAUUGUCCAGUAAUUUUUGAAGAGUAAAAAUCCCAUUAAUGAGGGAGACAGAAUUUAGGAUAUCACUCUCUACUGGUUACAGUUGGCUCUUAGAUUGGGCGGAAGCCUGGUUGGGCAGACCUGUCCUAGGAGUGAGGGGGUGUUGGCAUGUCAGUUCCUGAGUUUUCUUCUAGGGCUAUUUCCAGGUCUGGCUCUUGCAGGCUCUCCCCUGCCCCAGCCCAGGCCUGCCCUUCUCCACUAUCCCCUCCCUGCAUCUGGGCCCACAUACCCUUUGGGAAAAGGGAGCACCUGAGAAACACAAUACAGGGGCUUGUCUCUUGGAUCUUGGCCACUGGUCUGGGCAGAGACUGGAGUGGGAGCCACAAGGGUCAGAUAGUUUUCCCAGGAGAAGCCCUGUGCCUUCUUUCCUCCCAGGGUCACCAUCUUCCUGGCUCACCUGCCCGUGUCCUCUUAGGCCUCCCAGCCCCAUGUGUCUUAACUGCUGUUUGUAUUAAAAGCCUCUGUUUUAUUCCUGUUCAAAAAAAAAAAUUAUAUGGUGAUCUAGAGUUUUAUGGGAUUUAUAAAAUAACUUUUUUGUUAAAAAAGAUUAAAAGAAAUGGAAGAAAUCAAUUAUUUUCUGACUCUAACAAGUUACUAUCUUCUGGGGGAGGGAUUAAUUUUGUUUGGAUUAUCCUAUAUAAUAAAGUGCCCUCCGUCAGACUCUAGACCCUGGUUUUGAACAUUACCCACUCUAUAUCUAAGUCCUGUGUUCGGUAAAGUUGGGUGUAUAAGGUUUUAAAAUUACUGUUUCUGAUGUAUUAUGCAAUUUCAAGUAUUACUAUUCUUAACCUAGAUCGGAGACUACAGAUUCAUGGUUCACACUCUGUCAUCCCCCAUUUCCAACCAGGCAGAUUAUGACAGAUGGUGUGACUCACAGAAUGCUUUGCUGCUGAUUUCUGUGUGGUCUCAGAUUUUUUCUCCUCAAUAUAGUCUGCCACGUAGUCACCCUGUUGAACAAAAGUGUGAUGGAAAAUUAAAACACUCUUUUCAUCCUGUACCUCAAGGUGUGAGGUAAUCAGCUGAGUCUUAACAUUUUCUCAAGUAUUGCCAUUGUUAGUUGGCCCUGUGUAAGACAGACAGAAAUGUGACUCAUUCUUAGAAAGGGAUCAUUUCAAUCUAUUCCUUAGUCAUGCUAACUAAGGAGCUGGCUUACUUUUACUUGAUUCUUGUUUAGUUUAAAAAAUUUUGUUUUCCUUUCUAUUUUAGUAUUUAAUUGAUUUUUUUUUCAUUUGGGGCCCGGAAAAAUUCUGAGGAGUUUGCUGCAGCUUCAUAGGUCAAAGUAAGUUAGAGAAAAUGAUUUGAAAGAGGAGGAAAGAUGAUAAAGACACAGGGUUACACAUGAA